GGGGAAUUUUCCGCAAUGGGCGAAAGCCUGACGGAGCAAUACCGCGUGAGGGAGGAAGGCUCUUGGGUUGUAAACCUCUUUUCUCAGGGAAUAAGUACUGAAGGUACCUGAGGAAUCAGCAUCGGCUAACUCCGUGCCAGCAGCCGCGGUAAUACGGAGGAUGCAAGCGUUAUCCGGAAUGAUUGGGCGUAAAGCGUCCGCAGGUGGUUAUUCAAGUCUGCUGUCAAAGAAUCUGGCUCAACCAGAUAAAGGCAGUGGAAACUGAGUGACUAGAGCAUGGUAGGGGUAGAGGGAAUUCCUGGUGUAGCGGUGAAAUGCGUAGAGAUCAGGGAGAACACCGGUGGCGAAAGCGCUCUGCUGGACCAUAACUGACACUGAGGGACGAAAGCUAGGGGAGCGAAUGGGAUUAGAUACCCCAGUAGUCCUAGCCGUAAACGAUGGAUACUAGGCGUUGCCCGUAUCGACCCGGGCAGUGUCGUAGCCAACGCGUUAAGUAUCCCGCCUGGGGAGUACGCACGCAAGUGUGAAACUCAAAGGAAUUGACGGGGGCCCACACAAGCGGUGGAGUAUGUGGUUUAAUUCGAUGCAACGCGAAGAACCUUACCAGGGCUUGACAUGUCCGGAAUCUUCUGGAAACGGAAGAGUGCCUACGGGAGCCGGAACACAGGUGGUGCAUGGCUGUCGUCAGCUCGUGUCGUGAGAUGUUGGGUUAAGUCCCGCAACGAGCGCAACCCUCGUUCUUAGUUGCCAGCAAUUCGGUUGGGCACUCUAGGGAGACUGCCGGUGACAAACCGGAGGAAGGUGGGGAUGACGUCAAGUCAGCAUGCCCCUUACGUCCUGGGCUACACACGUACUACAAUGCUGUGGACAAGGGCAGCAAGCUAGCAUAGCAGCAAUCCAUAACACGCUCAGUUCAGAUCGCAGGCUGCACUCGCUGCGUGAGGAGAAUCGCUAGUAAUUGCAGGUCAGCAUACUGCAGUGAAUUCGUUCCCGGGCCUUGUACACACCGCCCGUCACACCAUGGAAGCUGGUCACGCCCGAAGUCGUUACCCUAACCUUUCGAGGAGGGGGACGCCGAAGGUAGGACUGGUGACUGGGGUGAAGUCGUAACAAGGUAGCCGUACCGGAAGGUGUGGCUGGAUCACCUCCUU
rnacentral:rRNA from 1 species